UGAUAUGUUGAGGACAGCUACAGUUCACUGACUCUGUGUGUUUGCAUAUCUGUCCUGCCUCUCUGCUCCCAGCCGUUAAGAGGCCAGUGUUGAUCAGUGGCUGUCCAGGCCUUUCAGAGCCACUGACACGCCGGCAGCACAAUGAUGUUGUCACUGAUUCCACUGCUGGCCACCCUGGGGCUCCUUGUUCAGGGUUCAUCAGGACAAAUCGUCCUGACUCAGUCUCCUGGAUCUCAGUCUGUUGUUCCAGGACAGACUGUCUCUCUCAGAUGUAAAACCAGUACGAGUGUUGGUAACAUUUUUUACAGCUACCUCCACUGGUACCUUCAGAAACCCGGAGAAGCUCCUAAACUCCUGAUUUAUACAGCUUCAAACCGUCACUCUGGAGUUCCAGGUCGUUUUAGUGGAAGUGGAUCUGGGACUGACUUCACUCUGACCAUCAGUGGAGUUCAGGCGGAAGAUUCAGGAGUUUACUACUGUCAGCAGGGUCGCAGCUACCCGUUCACACAGUGAUACAACGUCGUACAAAAACCUCCCUCAGCUGGAGAGGAACUGAUCUGACUCAACAGCUGCACUGAAACUAAAACAACAGA